UGGGGAAUUUUGGACAAUGGGCGAAAGCCUGAUCCCAGCAAUGCCGCGUGUGUGAAGAAGGCCUUCGGGUUGUAAAGCACUUUUGUCCGGAAAGAAAUCCUUGGCUCUAAUACAGUCGGGGGAUGACGGUACCGGAAGAAUAAGCACCGGCUAACUACGUGCCAGCAGCCGCGGUAAUACGUAGGGUGCAAGCGUUAAUCGGAAUUACUGGGCGUAAAGCGUGCGCAGGCGGUUUGCUAAGACCGAUGUGAAAUCCCCGGGCUCAACCUGGGAACUGCAUUGGUGACUGGCAGGCUAGAGUAUGGCAGAGGGGGGUAGAAUUCCACGUGUAGCAGUGAAAUGCGUAGAGAUGUGGAGGAAUACCGAUGGCGAAGGCAGCCCCCUGGGCCAAUACUGACGCUCAUGCACGAAAGCGUGGGGGAGCAAACAGGAUUAGAUACCCUGGUAGUCCACGCCCUAAACGAUGUCAACUAGUUGUUGGGGACUUCAUUUCCUUAGUAACGUAGCUAACGCGUGAAGUUGACCGCCUGGGGAGUACGGUCGCAAGAUUAAAACUCAAAUGAAUUGACGGGGUCAUAGCUGUUUCCU
rnacentral:rRNA from 1 species